UGAAAUAGCGCAGGAUAAUGGGCCAUCCCUUGG
rnacentral:sRNA from 1 species